GUUCAAUUCUCUUUUGCUAUUAGAAAGAUUAUUUCAUUCUAUGUAUUACUUAGUACUAUGAAGUCAAUUUUGGAUUUUUGUGGAGAAAUAAGAUACAGUCUGAAGAAAGGAGAUGGCACAAGCUGAUUUAUAUGGGGGAAUGCCAUGAGUCAUCACUUUUUGGAAAAAAUGAAAGAGAAAGGUUUU
rnacentral:lncRNA from 1 species